CGGUCCUGAAGAGAAACGGCCUCCCGCCCUGCCGGGAGCCCCCGGGCAGCCCCGCCUCCCCCCGGGGGCGAAGGGGCCAUGGCGGAGGCGGGGGGGGCGGCCGGGAGCCCCCCGGCGGGGCCGGGCUGCGGCGUGCAGGUGUCUGUCAUUGUGCCUGUUCACAAUAGUGAAUGCUGGUUAGAUGAGUGCCUGAAGUCUGUCUGGGAACAAGAUUUUAAACAAACGAUGGAGCUGUCAGUUUUUAAUGAUGCCAGCAAGGACAGUUCAGCUGAGAUCAUUGCAAAAUGGAAGAUGAAGUUGGAAGAUGCUGGUGUUCCAGUAAUCAUCGGUAGCAAUAAUUCAUCUCAACCUCGAGGAGUUGGAUUUGCUAAAAAUCAAGCAGUAAUACAGAGCUCGGGAGCCUAUCUUUGCUUUCUGGAUUCAGAUGAUGUGAUGAUGCCACAGCGGGUUAGACUGCAGUACGAAGCUGCCAUUCAACACCCAAACAGUAUUGUUGGUUGCCAAGUCAGAAGAGAGCCACCUAUGUCUACUGAACGGUACACUCGUUGGAUCAAUAAUCUGACUGAAGAACAGCUUCUUACACAGGUGUUUACCUCCCAUGGACCUACUGUGAUCAUGCCAACCUGGUUCUGUUCUCGAGAAUGGUUUUAUCACGUGGGAAAAUUUGAUGAGGGUGGAAAAGGUGUUCCAGAAGAUUUGUUAUUUUUUUACAAACACAUCCAAAAGGGUGGUGAAGUUGUUCGAGUAAACCAUUGCCUUCUGCUGUACCGAUACCAUCCACAGGCUGCAACUCAUUCUGUCCUAGAGGAAACCAUCUGGAAUCACCGAGUCAGGUUUCUUGAAGACAGAGUCCUGAGCUCCUGGACAUCUUUCACCAUUUGGAAUGCUGGCAAGCAAGGCAAGAAGCUCUACAGAAGCUUGUCACCAGCUAAUCGGAAAAAGGUAACUGCAUUUUGUGAUGUUGACGAAAAGAAAAUAACAAGAGGAUUCUAUACUUUUGAAGAAUCUGAGGAGAGACCAAAACCAAAAAUUCCAAUAUGUCACUUCAGAGAAGCAACUCCACCUUUCAUUAUCUGUGUGAAGCUGGAUUUAACAGGAGGAGCAUUUGAAACAAACUUGAAUAUGCUGAACUUGACAGAAGGGGUGGAUUAUUAUCAUUUUAACUAAAAACCAAGUGUACUUCGCAGCUCAUGCUGAGAAUCCAGUUUGUCAAGAUGCCGUAGCACAAACUCUUUCAGUCCUAAGGGCACCUGAACCAAGAGCUUCAGUUUGCAAAGCAACAGUCAGUGCCUGCAACUUUAUUGUGCUGAACUCUACAAGAGAAAGAAAAAAGAGGUCAUGUGGAGUAGCAUGUAUUUUACCAGCACAAUAUGUAAUUAAGUAAACUAAAUGGAGAAGAAAAUGUAGAAAUGUAAAGUUAAAUUUUUUACAAUCCUUUUUUAUCACUUUACGUUUUUAAUCAUCCAUCAGAUACGUGAGCUCUUAAAGAAGAGCAGUGUUAAGUACACUUGGUUGGGCACCAACCGGCUGCUAGCAGGGACAUUGGAGAGCUAGGAGAAGUCCUUCAAGUUCAGCAAAUAUCGCUCUGAGUGAACUCCAACAGUUCACAGGACAGGUUAUGUGCAAUACUGUGAGGCUGUACAUAUUCUUCAAGGACUGAGGCUUUGUUGCAGGUAAAUGAGCAUUUGCUUGCUAGAUUGAAUAUGUGCUGCUAAAGAAACUCUGAAAUCUGCUCUAAGAAUGCUAUUUAUAUUCUGCCUUCAGUUCUUCUUAUAAGGAAAUUCCUUCUCUCUAUUGCUGGAGUAAUUUCAUAAAGGAGAAAGUAGUUUGUCCUGUUGAAUUUCAUCACCUACAACUGAAAUAUUUCCUGCUGUUAUCCAUAAUUAAGUGUUUAAGAGAGGAACAUGGCAAGACCUAACUACUUUCCUUCACUGUUAUCUUGCUAACUGAGCCUCCACAUCUUUGAACUUCUCCCAGAAUGGAACAUCUCCCAGACUCCUAUCAAAGUAGAACAUUCUGUACUUCUUGAAGUACUGAGCAGAUGGGCACUUCCAAACCAUCUGCAUUGAAAUGAAAAAGGAUCUACACAGACCUAUCAUCUUUCUUGCUAUGAACGUGUUAACUCCAGAACAUAUUCUCCCUCUUAUGCAGUGUUAGAAUUGUGAGACUUGCACAUUUCAUGUUAUAAUUCUGCUGUUUAAAUUGACUGGGAAGCUUUUAUCCUUUUUUCUUUCUCCAGAAAGGGCAGACAAACAGUUUUUGAAACAUCUGUGCUGUAUUAUUUCAUUCUUCAAUUUUGUCUGAGUAAGAUGUCACACUACAAGUCUGGAAUGCUUUCAAGAAAUGGAACUGGAGUGGCUUAAGAGAACAGUCUUCAGCAAUUCCAUAUAUUCUGUAGUUAGCUGUGAGGACAUUUCUAGGUGUGCAUUUUAUAUAUUCAUGAACCUCUGAAGAACUGCAUCUGUUGCACGGAAGAUACACACUGUAUUAGUAGAACAACUGAUCAUUACAAAGAAAAAAGCUCAGGUGCACAUUUCCAUACUUUACCUUGGAUACUAGCUGUGGUUUGGGCACUUUCAUGAGAUCACAGAGGAGGUUGCGUUUCUCUCUUACUACUGUUAGUUCAGCUUCCCUGCAUGAGGAAAUACCUUCUAGUUAAUUCAAAAACAAAAGCAUGAAGUUGGCUGCAUGCAUACAACUGCUUAAGCUACCUGUUCACUACUAUAUCACUAUGCAGGUGUCUAUUCUUUCAAGUACAUUUCAAACUAGAAGUUCAUGUUGUGUUCUUAUUUUAAGAAUAAUGUAGCCUUUUCAUGGCAUUUGAAGCCAGAUAUACCAUAAAUACACAAGUCUUCAAGAACUGUCAGUUACUAGUAAAAUGAGUAAGACUAUUAUAUUUAAAAAACAAAACCAAAACAUUUUUUUCAUAGAAACUUCUUGAUUAGAAGUUCACAAACUUGUUCUCUAAAUUUAUAGCUUCUUUUUUGAUUUAGAAAAUAUCACAUCAAGAAUUAAACUAAAUGUCACUAGAUUUGGAAAACAUUCUGCUAUCUAGGAAAGCUUUCUCUUGAAGUAGAAAGGAUCAGACCAAAUGCUAGUGAGUAUUUUAAAAAGUUACUGAAAUAACGUGGUGUUUACAAAACAACUGUUGUUUUUCUUAAACAACUGUUGUUUUUCCUAAACAGCCAGUUACAAAAAGCUCCAAAAUGAUAAAAAUCCAAACACACAUCUCUUCCAUGUUGCAAGUAUCUAUCACUAACUGAAAUGCUGUGAUCCUGCUAAUAUUGCUCACUUAUUCAGUAGAUUUGUUUUUCUUAAGUGGUGAGUGUAAGUGAGCUAUUAAAAAUUAACUCUUAGCACAGAAACUGAUUCCAAAACUAUGGAGAAAAAGCACAAAGUAAAAAUUAAUUAAAAAUAACCUUGAAUAUACAUGUAUUUCCCUUUGGACACCUUGGACAACUUAGUCUUAGAAUCAUCUAGGUUGGAAAAGAUCUUCAAGAUCGUCAAGUCCAAUCAUCAAUCUGACCUACCAAGUCCCAUCACUAAAUCAUGUCAUUUGUCACAUUUAAUUUUGGAAACCUUCCUAUAGCUAAACAAAAAAUAUUAUUUAAUUUCUUUCAACUUGGAAUUACAGAAUCGUAUGAUAAACUCUUUGUAGUUCCAACAAAAAGAAUGUUUCAAAUAUGUGUAUUCCAGAAAUGACCGCCUUCCCCAAAUAUCUAAUACUCAUUAGGCUUCCUGAUGUUAAUGCUUAUUUUAAUUCUGAAAUUACCGUGAUUGCUUUAGCACUGAGAGCACUUGAAAAUAAUAAGCAGCUCUCUAUGACACUCAGCAAUGACUUCAAAUACCUUCUUUUGUAAACAGUUCAAAUCUAGUAUGACAAAACAAGAUUUAAGUAAAUUGGCUCUUCACCUUUACUCUCAGUGCAACGGAUAUGUUGCAACUGGGAACUUAGAGCAAGCCCUGAGCUAAAAGGGAACGAAACAAGUAGCCAGUCACACCUUAAAAAUUACAAGGUGAAAAAGAUUUAUUUUUGUCUGAAAUGGCUUAUAGGAAGUAAAUUUCCUUGUUUUCAUGAGUAACUCAUAUAUGAGUAGAACCCUCCUACUCUGUAGCAAUUUUGUCUGUUCCACUUCUAAUUUUGGUAUUGUAAACAUCCCUUUGUGACACCAGCAACCUAAUCCUUCUCAAUUAUUUGUUUUUUUUUUUUCUGUAGCAAAGAAACUUUUAACUUCUGAGCAAGCCUGCUCUUAGUUCAGAUUCCACAAGCAAGCAUUGAAUCACACUGGACAGAACGCUAACCAUCAAUACACACUUAAGCAAGUAAGCAGAAUAGUGGAUAACCAGUUCUUUCAAAUCUGAGACUGUUUUUCUAAUUUUGUCCUGAAAAAUUCAGAAAAAUGUGAAGCAGCCACCCCUUACAAUGACAAACCUUAAUUUUGUUUCCCAAGUAUAAAGUUAUUAAAGCUCAAGCACUGAAAUAAACUGAAAAUUAAAUACAAGUUAAAUGAUGUAAACAUGCAGUCUGAAAAUAUGUAAACCACAACAUUACAGUAGACUCAUUCUUUGAAGACAUCUCAGUUAAUUUCCAUGAAAUGUCAAUGAAGGAAAAAGCCACUUAAUACAACAAUUAGUAGGAUAUAUAUUUUUGAUAUCUGGCUGUUCUUAAAAACACUUUCUUAUGUAUUAACUUUGACUACUGUUUGAGACUGGGUGUUGGGCAAAUGGACCCAUGACCCAGUCAUCUGUAAUAAGGAAAAAUGUUUAAAAAAUAUUGAAAAGGGAAGCUAAACUAAUUAUCUUAAAGUUCUGUAUUUCCUCAAACGUCCAGGGCAUGCAGUCUUACAUAAACACUUCCAGUGACUGCAGAAAACAAGCAGACAAACAAAAAAGCCGAAAGUAGGCCUCCUCCUGUCACCUUAUGGAUUUAUUCAUUUAGCUUCUUUGAAGUAAGAAGUCUGCUAAAAACAAAACAAUACUCAGUGUCAGCACUCCAAAGGUGCUGGCAGAAUGAGCUCCUCCUGACAGUAAAAGAUAACCUUGCUGCUUUGUUGAAUUCUGCUCAGGAAGAAUGGGACACUUUCUCCUUGCCCUUGUAAGAAGGUAAUAUUAAUGGUAACAGCAGGUAAAUAAAUAAAUAAAUAAAUAACAUUAUAGAAAAAAGUAAAUGUCUAAACUGCUUCCAAUUAUAAUUUGCAGGGCUACAAAGAUAGUAGUUAUUUUGAGCAAUUAACAUUUCAUGGGAGAUUUGAUCUGUUUUUCUCCGGCUUGCACAGAUCCUUCCCAAAAUCCUGCCUGUAUUCAUAAAUGCCAAGAAAUUGUGCGAUUGAAGUCUGCCUGUUUGCACAGCUCAGUUUCUGUGUUCCAUGGAGAAUUUCCAAGAUCUCCUCCCUCUCUAUGUUGGUAGAAAAAUACAGAUAUUUUACUUUAGUGUUGGUAUUAUACAUAGCACUUCUAGUGGCACAAUAUAAUAGACCUUUAGAGGUCUCUUUUCACCAAUGGCCUAAAAGCUAUAACUAGCUAAAACUAAGGUAUUGCUCCAUUGCAGCUUCCUUGCCACCAGCCUUCAAAGACAUGGAUAUCUUGUUUCAACUUCAUUGGGACAAAAAUUAUUUCAGCUCUUACUAUUAUCUAAGAACAAAUUCACUUACCAGUUGGUAUCGCUGAGUAUGGUCAUAACCUCGUCCAUAAUGGCAGGAUCCACUACAUCGCUGUAGGUUAUCAACAUUUCAUAAACCUGACUGGCUGUUGUUUUCCGUAUCUACGUGGAAGAGGCAAGGGAAAAGCUUUAGUAAGUGUCUAGAGUCCUGCACAGAAGAGCCCAGUGGGCAUUUCCAUUCAUAUUUGUGCUGGCUGAUGGAGAAGGGAUGAGGGUCAGAGAAGAACCUUUUGAAAAAUAUUUCCUUUUCAGAUUUGUCCCUCAAAAGGAAUAAAUGCAAGCAGUCCUUAACGCUUUCCUCAUGGGAAGGUCUGCAAACAUUCCCAGAUAAAACUCCUGAACACCAAAGCCACAGAAAGCUGUUUAACGUAGUUGGCUGCCAUAGCAGCCGUCAAUCUGGGCUACUAGGUGAACACAGUGAACACAGACCCUCUCUCAAAAACUUCAUCAAGUCAAAAAUAAAAUAUUUCCAAGGCCUAAGAUUGCUAUCCCACAUAAGAUCUUUUCUUACACAUACUCAGAAGUAGUAACUCAUUUUUAUGCCAUUUCAAUUACUCACAUGAAAAAAGUAAAUUUCUGAUGAAUUUUCCUGACAAAAAGGGCAAAACUAGUUCUUGAACCAGAACCACAACUGUGUUGCUACUGUCGGAAAUGUUGCAAAACCAACAGUAAUUUAUCUGAUCGGAGCCCUCAGGACCUAAUGGUGAGCACAACUUCACAGUGCUGGGCUUUGCAUAAAAGAAAUAAACAAGGUAGGUAUCUAAAUUGCUUCUAAUGUAAAAGUAGGGAUGGAAGGUGAAAAAACAGUAUGCAGAAUAGCCAGCCAGGCAUUCUGCCAGCAUCCAGUAGCCUGUUUAAGGUGGCAGCAUUGCAGAGAGCAAACCCUUGAGAAAUAAAACCUAUUAUAUACAUUAAUAUCUCUUUCAGGUGCAUUAAAGCAGCAUUGCUAAGUUGUUGUUGUUGUUUAACUUCUAAUUAUUUUAAAUAGGAUUGUUGAUAAUAUACAAUAUCUUCCAUACUUACUACAGGAAAUGGAUGGCAAAGGAGGAGAAACAAUUGAAACAGAACUUUCUCUCUCAUGUCUCCUUCAAAUUGAAUCAGGCCACAAAACCUAGAAAACAUACAAAAAUAUAGACAAAAAAAAAUCUUGAGUGAUAUCUCUUGAUAUUAUCACUGCAGAAGUACAUUUUGUGGAUCAGAGUGAAGAUGUGUAUUAGAAAAAAUGAUGGGGAGAGAGGAGGAAGCUUUGCUGCUCCUGAGAAAUCUCAGCUGAUAUUCUGUGUUGUGGGAAAGCAAACACUGAGGGUAAGUGUACUGAAAUUCUUAAGGGUUACCGAGAUGCCACACACUUAUGCCAAAUACAAAUAUGGUUUUAAAGCUAUUGACAGCAGCACCAAAGUCUGUGCACUAAAAAAACCCAACACAUUCUGGAUCAAGCUCUCCCAUAGAAAACAAAAGCUGAAGGUAGGAUCUUGUAUGACGCAGGUAAGAGUGAAAUAAAAAUAGAAGGCAUGGGUUACUUUUCAUUUUAGGCUUUCCUGCACUCUCAGAAUAGUGCCAAAAAAAUAAUUAAAUCAAUAAAGUCAUUACUUGAAACAGUUAUACCUCAAUAAUUCUGCCAAUGAACAUUUCAUUCAGCUUUGCAAUACUUUGACUUUUUUUUUCCUCCUCACCCAGUAUUGUUUUUCCUGACUGAAACAUUUUUGGUUUGAUCUCUCUGCUAUCCAAAAUGAGUUAGGUUGUUUUUUUUUUUUUCUUUCCUAAAAUAGAUAAUAAUUUUGCUGGUGUUUUAAACUAUUUCUAGUGUAACUGUUAAGGUUUACUCAAUUACAUAUAUUUUUUACUGUCAGUAUGUGUGAGUCAAGCUCUGCAAGCAAAAAGCAAAUGACUGAAUGCAUCUUUAAGAAUGUCAAUAACAGUUCAAAAUUAGUUAUUUGUCAACAACAGUUCAAAAUUAAUUUUUUUUCAGAUCUUUCACGUUUUCACCUCAACCACACAGAAGAUACACAUAAAACUCACACAACCUUAUGUUACAUGUAUCUGCGUGCAUUUUUCAUUUAUGUUUCACAUCAAAUAGACUUAGUAUGUUCUGUAGUUAAAUUUUCUUCACUCCUUACAAACAGACAAAAGAUUACUUUCUUUGUUUAUUUCAUCAACUCACACUCCUAUGCUAGAGCGAAGUUUCCGGAUGUCUUUGGAUCUUUUGAUCUCUUCUUUACAAAGGUUAAAUAGCUUCACUGGAAAUGGAUGGCUGGAAAUGGGAAGGAAAAAAAAGGAUAUGAAAUAGAUUUAAGCAGAAUUUUAAACACAUUUGAUGAUUGUAAAGAUGCCAAAUUAACAUUCAAAAGAGAGGAAAGAUACUACCCAGAACUGUUUGUGAAUACUUUUUCCAGAGCAGCACACCCUGCUUUAGGUGGACUUUUGGUAAAGACACAGGCUACUUUGGCUACCACUUGUGAACAUUAUUUUAAUUUUUUAUGGAAGCAAAGAAAUUAGUAUUAAUUGUUGGUAUUCCUACUACCUGUGUGCUGAGGAGUGAACUACCUUUAUCCAAAGUGAGUCAGUAUCUGCAUGGUAAUCAGCUAGCCACAGCUUGCAUUUACAGCAAAGUAUGGUACAAUCUGAAAUACUAUGCCAGGAAUUAGAACAUUCUAUAACCAAAUAAAAAUUAUUCAGUUUACGGAACAUUGUAGUGCCUUGGUGGUUCCAUAAGGCCUUCAAUCAAACUUGGCACAAAAGGGGAUAGACACUGUUCUUACAUACUCUACCAUCUCACAGCCUGGAUUCCUUAGUGAUGCCAGACAACAUAAUUAAACCCAGCGCUUACAGUUCUGUUAAGUGUACAAGUCAUGAAGCCAUCUUUAAAUAUAUUGAGCAAAUUCUUCUUUUUCUACAGUCUGGGAAAUACCAUUCUUACAGCUUUCCCAGAUACUCAUACAAACACAAGUAUUGUUAUGAUAUUUCAAGGAUCUAGUAAAGAGGGAAUGUUACUUUUAUUUCAGAACAAAUUAUUUAAUCUUUUACUCAUUACACUCAAAGCUGAAGUGCCAUAGAUGCAGAAGAAACUAUUUUAUAUCUGUCUAGUGCACACAAUUACUUCUAGAAUGCGUAUUUUGGAAAUUUCACUGUAUUGUGUAUGAAAAACAGAAAGCAGAAAUCCUAACAUUUAUUUUCUGCUACUGUGAUUCAAAACUGUGGAUAUAAAUUAUUGGAAAAAAACUGUCACGUAAUCUGUUGAAAAAUACAACAUUUAAAAUGAAUUAAGAUGGUUACAGGACAAAAUGUUUUGUCAAGUUAAUGCACCUUAUUAUACGUAGUUUUCCAGACAAGAGAGUUUUUGUUUUGUUUUUACUAGACUAAAAAAAAAA